rnacentral:other from 1 species
UGCUUACUGGGUUAUUCGUUGAGACAUUUUAUUGAACCUACAUUAUGAUAAAAGGGCAUCCGUAUAUUGGUGUGGCUAGCGAGCCUGGGUCUUCGGACUUCUUCAGGAUACUAAAAGCAUCGAUGAGGUGACCCACCUAGCAAGGGCUAGGUGUCAAUAAAGUUUUGACGGUAAUCUGGUUUUUUA